rnacentral:rRNA from 1 species
UACGUAGGCAGCGAGCGUUGUUCGGAGUUACUGGGCGUAAAGGGUGUGUAGGCGGUUCUUUAAGUUUGGGGUGAAAUCCCCCGGCUCAACCGGGAGGGUGCGCCGAAUACUGAGGGACUAGAGUACGGGAGAGGAAAGUGGAAUUCCUGGUGUAGCGGUGAAAUGCGUAGAUAUCAGGAGGAACACCGGUGGUGUAGACGGCUUUCUGGACCGUAACUGACGCUGAGACACGAAAGCGUGGGUAGCAAACAGG